AGUGAACGCUGGCGGUAGGCCUAACACAUGCAAGUCGAACGGCAGCACAGUAAGAGCUUGCUCUUACGGGUGGCGAGUGGCGGACGGGUGAGGAAUACAUCGGAAUCUACUUUUUCGUGGGGGAUAACGUAGGGAAACUUACGCAAAUACCGCAAACGACCUACGGGUGAAAGCAGGGGAUCUUCGGACCUUGCGCGAUUGAAUGAGCCGAGGUCGAAUUAGCUAGUUGGCGGGGUAAAGGCCCACCAAGGCGACGAUCCGUAGCUGGUCUGAGAGGAUGAUCGGCCACACUGGAACGAGAACACGGUCCGACCCCCUAGGGAGGGCGGCGUGGGGGAAUAUGGAACAAGGGGCGAAGGCCUGUCCAGGCCAUACCGCGUGGGUGAGGAGGGCCUUCGGGUGGUAAAGCCUUUUUUUUGGAAAAAAAAGGCGGCGGGUAAAUCCCCGCUGUUCUGACGGUACCCAAAGAAUAAGCACCGGCUAACUUCGUG
rnacentral:rRNA from 1 species